rnacentral:pre_miRNA from 1 species
UAUUGUCACCGAAUCAGCCAAUGGGGAGGGCGGGGCCUCCAGAUCUAGCAAUCCCGACCUCCCAGCUUGUGGAUCCAGCAGGUCGA